GCAGACAUAUUCCAGCCAAUCAGCAGCAGACCCUCCCUCCCAGACCCUCCCACCUCCUGGACAGCAUCCAUUUUGAAGCUGCAUUCUUAGUGAGCUGUCCAGGAGGUGGGAGGGUCUGGGAGGGAGGGUCUGCUGCUGAUUGGCUGGAAUGUGUCUG